rnacentral:tRNA from 1 species
AAAAAAGCCGGAAUAGNUCAGUUG